UACGUAGGGGGCAAGCGUUAUCCGGAUUUACUGGGCGUAAAGCGCGUGUAGGCGGUUGCGUAAGUUGGUUGUGAAAUCCCUCGGCUCAACCGAGGAACUGCAGCCAAUACUGCGCGGCUUGAGUGGCAGAGAGGAAAGUGGAAUUCCCGGUGUAGUAGUGAAAUGCGUAGAUAUCAGGAGGAACACCGGUGGUGUAAACGGCUUUCUGGACCAUAACUGACGCUGAGGCACGAAAGCGUGGGUAGCAAACAGG
rnacentral:rRNA from 1 species